CGGUAUCUCAAGUACAUUAAGGACCGAAGACACCCCCGUUGCCUAGUCAAACUGAACACAAUGACCAACAGAGGCUGAAUUCCAAACACAUAACAAGAAAAGAUAUAAAAGCUCAAAGAAAUACAAGAUAACUAAAUAUCCAAUAAUAAAUAACUGAAACCAACCAAGUCCACAACAAAAUCUACAAAGCCUAUAAUCAAUACCGAAAGCCAAUCUAAGCUGAGAGAUGCCCC
rnacentral:lncRNA from 1 species